AAAAAAUCCAUGGUAUCAAAACGAGGAGUUUAAUAACUGGACGAAGCAGCCGGACUUAGCCGACACUUUUUCUGCAAUUAGGGCGCUUGCUUUGCGAUUAUGAACAGUGAGGCGACGACAAUGAUGGAGCUCGAAGUCGAGCCCAAGUAAGGCAUCAGAUUCGCUCAAAAGGAUCAAGCCCUUAUAGGACAGUAUUAAGAUUGUCAAAUGAACUGGCCAUGCUUGAUUUCCAGUGAAACACCUAUUCUGUUGCGUAUAUUCUAUGGACGAAGUGGAUGGCAAUUGUCGAAGCAGAUGAACUUGUCGAAAGUGGAGUGUAUUAACAUCAUGGGACAUGCCAUAUUGCACUGGCGGUACAUAGCACGAAUAGACUUGUAUAAGUAGCUGCUGAAAGAUACAAGGUAUGCAAAUCUUUUAUUUAUAUGGUGAAAUAUUUCAUUCCAUACAAACAACUUGGUUAAUUAGUAACCCCCUACUUACAGUCAGCACAAUGUUUUGGAUAAUUAAUGCAUAAUAAUUAAAACUUCAGCAUUUGAGUUUAGGGUUCAGUUCAUUGAUCUGCUUGUCGAUUAAAGAAUCUUUGCUUUGCAUUUGCCCGUCUUUAUCCUUUAGACCAAAAAGACAUAGCACCUGCCUUAUAGCCCAUUGAUUUUGUGGUACCCAUCCCAUUGAAGGUGGAGCUGAAACAUCUGCCAUGGAUUAUGCUCCUCUGUACCUGACAUUGCUUUUUUACUGACCUCGGCAUACUACACUCUAUCUGUAGUCAGUGAUGAAACUUGUCACUGAUCUAGAUUUAAACAUGACACAAACAUGUAUGCAUGGUAUUCCUUGACAAUUUUGAAUGCAGCGCAUAAAAUUUUGUCUUAAAUAUAGUGGGGAUCAAAUUGAAUUAUAUGUAGGCCUGUGCUUAAAGUUAUGCAGUUAAUUUGUUCUCUUGUGCAA